GUUAAAAGGAUUUUUACUCUGGCGGGUCAAUCUUUCGUCCAUGAAGAAAGCAAGCAGAAUUUGAACUGCAGGAAUCUCGCUCUCUUCCGGUGAGGAUUCACUCACUGGCCGUGAGGAAGCCUCACCCUCGCCCCCAUUUCUGUUUCACUCGGCCAUAGCUGUUCCUCCAGCGUCUUCCUUUACAGACGCAUUGCUUCGUUCUGCGGGAUGUGCCGUCGGCAGAGAAGUUAGAUAUCAUCUACAUCAGAGUCUCGGAAAGACUUUGAGACCUUUCCCUUGGCUUAAUUCCACCACGUGAAGGAUGAGAAGGGGAGCAGGGCGUGAAGGAAGGACUGUGGUAGGUGGAACUAAGGUAUCCUCGUGGACCCAGGUAACUCAACAAGAUCUCUCCAUCAGCCAGUUUGACAGAUCCAAUAGUUAGAUGUGAGAUCAGAGUGCCUGCAUUGUCUGCCUUGUAUGCCUAAAAUGCUAUCAUCACAUGCAUUUUAAAGAAAUCACUUCACUUUCUUCCACUAUUACUGCUGAGAAAUCAAGUGCCAGUGAUAUCAUUACUUCUAUAAAG